rnacentral:rRNA from 1 species
CCUACGGGCGGCAGCAGUGGGGAAUAUUGGACAAUGGAGGGAACCCUGAUCCAGCCAUGCCGCGUGUGUGAAGAAGGCCCUCGGGUUGUAAAGCACUUUCAGUGAGGAAGAACGCCUGGUGGUUAAUACCCAUCAGGAAAGACAUCACUCACAGAAGAAGCACCGGCUAACUCCGUGCCAGCAGCCGCGGUAAUACGGAGGGUGCGAGCGUUAAUCGGAAUUACUGGGCGUAAAGCGCGCGUAGGUGGCUUGAUAAGCCGGUUGUGAAAGCCCCGGGCUCAACCUGGGAACGGCAUCCGGAACUGUCAAGCUAGAGUGCAGGAGAGGAAGGUAGAAUUCCCGGUGUAGCGGUGAAAUGCGUAGAGAUCGGGAGGAAUACCAGUGGCGAAGGCGGCCUUCUGGACUGACACUGACACUGAGGUGCGAAAGCGUGGGUAGCAAACAGGAUUAGAUACCCUAGUAGUC